GAUGAAGAACGCAGCGAAAUGCGAUACUUGGUGUGAAUUGCAGAAUCCCGCGAAUCAUCGAGUUUUUGAACGCAAGUUGCGCCCGAAGCCAUUCGGCCGAGGGCACGUCUGCCUGGGUGUCACGCAUCGUUGCCCCCCCAAACUCCGGUUCGGGCAGGGCGGAAGUUGGCCUCCCGUGCGUGCCUGCGCGCGCGGUUAGCCCAAAAGCGAGUCCUCGGCGACGAGCGCCACGACAAUCGGUGGUUUUUUUACCCUCGUUCCUCGUCGUGCGUGCCCCGUCGCCCGAACGCGCUCUUGCGACCCUUACGCGUCGCCUCGGCGGCGCUCCCAACGCGACCCCAGGUCAGGCGGGACUACCCGCUGAGUUUAAGCAUAUCAUAAGCGGAGGA
rnacentral:misc_RNA from 1 species